UGUCGCCAUAGCAACAAUGAUGCUGGACAAGGCUGGGUCAUCAUUGGAGAACUCCUGCUGGUUACGGGAUGGAGGUCAGGCCAGGGAGCCCUGUUCAGGACCAACGGAAGAAAAGAUGAGCACUGGAUAUGUACGGAGGGAAGACUGUGAAAUCACAAGGAGAAAGCACCCAUUUGCAAGCAAAGAACAAAGACCUCAGGAGAAGCCAGUCCUGCUGACACCUUGAACUUGAACUUCGGGCCUCCAGAAUGAGACAUUGAAAUAAAUGUCUGCUGUUUGAGCCACC
rnacentral:lncRNA from 1 species